rnacentral:rRNA from 1 species
GACGAACGCUGGCGGCGUGCCUAAUACAUGCAAGUCGAGCGAACCAAUGGGAGCUUGCUCCCUGAGGUUAGCGGCGGACGGGUGAGUAACACGUGGGUAACCUGCCUGUAGGACUGGGAUAACUUCGGGAAACCGGAGCUAAUACCGGAUAAUUUCUUUUCUCGCAUGAGGAGAGAUGGAAAGAUGGUUUUGCUAUCACUUACAGAUGGACCCGCGGCGCAUUAGCUAGUUGGUGAGGUAACGGCUCACCAAGGCGACGAUGCGUAGCCGACCGGCGAGGGUGAUCGGCCACACUGGGACUGAGACACGGCCCAGACUCCUACGGGAUGCAGCAGUAGGGAAUCUUCCGCAAUGGACGAAAGUCUGACGGAGCAACGCCGCGUGAGCGAAGAAGGCCUUCGGGUCGUAAAGCUCUGUUGUUAGGGAAGAACAAGUAUCGGAGUAACUGCCGGUACCUUGACGGUACCUAACCAGAAAGCCACGGCUAACUACGUGCCAGCCGCCGCCGUAACAC